rnacentral:rRNA from 1 species
AUCGAACGCUGGCGGCAUGCCUAACACAUGCAAGUCGAGCGAGCGGCGGACGGGUGAGCAAUGUAUGGGGACCUGCCCGAUAGAGGGGGAUAACUACUGGAAAAGGUGGCUAAUACUGCAUACUAUCGGUUGAACUCAUAUGGGAUUAGCUAGUAGGUGGGGUAAAGGCUCACCAAGGCGACGAUCCCUAGCUGGUCUGAGAGGCUGAUCAGCCACACUGGGACUGAGACACGGCCCAGACUCCUACGGGAGGCAGCAGUGGGGAAUAUUGGACAAUGGGCGAAAGCCUGAUGCAGCCAUGCCGCGUGUAUGAAGAAGGCCUUAGGGUUGUAAAGUACUUUCAGCGGGGAGGCGUUACCCGCAGAAGAAGCACCGGCUAACUCCGUGUCAGCAGCCGCGGUAAUAC